CCUUUCCUCUCUCUCGUUUCCCUCCCUCCUCUUCCCGUUCGCGCGAGAACUGCCCCUUGGGCUCCAGCGGGACCGAAAGGUUUGGGACGAGAUCUCGCGCGGUUUGGAUCGUCGCGGUAGGGAGAGCGCGCGCGGGCGCCUUUUCUUGGUUGGUUUUUUUUUUCACGCACGCGCGUUCGGGCCUGUCAGGCUCCUCCUCCUCUCGACGUUUCUUUUAACGGCGACUAUGCCUCCCUCCGCUUCUUUCAAUAUGGAGUGAUGGCCGCUCUCUCCAAUCAAAACCGGGACGACUCAGAAAAAACCCAUCCCGAGCGGGGAAGUGACGGAGGAGGCGGGAUUCCUGGGUUUAUAAAAGGAGAAGCCGCCAAAAAUGGCCGCCAGAGUUUUGUUGGCGGACAUGGUGGUAGUUUACCUGGGGCGAAAAAAGAAGAUACACAGUAUAUAAGGUAAAAAAAAAGGAACUGUUGAUCCAGGAAGAGUUCCGAGUUAUAGCCAUGGUGGCAGAAAAACUAAAGCUCCAAAUGACUCGAGAAUUUUACUGCAGGAUGCCAGCAAAACAAAAGCUGAAGAUGGCAGAUCUGACACUUAGAGAGCAAUAACAGGAGUUCCUAAAAAGGUACAAGUUCCGUUCUGUUUUGUUCCAUUCCAUUCUGUUACUCUACUCUGCUCUACUCUACUCUACUCUACUCUACUCUACUCUACUCUAUAUCUUAUCCUAUCCUAUCCUAUCCUUAAUUUUUAAUUCUAAGGCUGGAUGUUCUCUCUGUUUAAUUUUGGAGAGGGUUGCCAAAAAGGUUGGAGAGAAACUGAAAUAAUUUCAUUUCUGGCGGCUUUCUAUUCAACCUCUCGUUUGCUCAUUAAGUCAUGUAAACAUUGGCUGUCUUUACCCUGAUGUCAGAUGUCUAGGCCUGUCAAGUAACAUUUGAUGGACUGGAUGAUAAGUGUGUCCAGAAGUGCCACGUUGCCUACAAAGGAUGUGUCAAACAUCAUUUCCUUAAAAAAAGCUAUUCUUUUCCUGCCAUCUGGCCUGCAGUUAACACAUAUCAAAGGCGGUGGGUUUCCCAUUUCGUUCUGAGCCUCUGCUUGUAAGAUUGCACAUCAGGUGAGCUGGUUGAAUGCAGGGCAGAACAACACCUGGAAACAGCUGUGCGGAGAGAUGAACACAUCAUUUCCACCUGCUACGGACUAAGGUGAGGUCAGAGAAGCCUCGAGAUUCCAUGAAGUGACCUUCCAGGUGAGUUUGGUAGCACCCUGUAUAUAAUGUAUACAUUGUAAGCAGAACAGCUAAAUUUUAAAUUAAGGCAGUCGAACUAAGAACCCAACUCAUUGAACAAAUUGGGGUAUCCCGUAAGGGAAAUUUGCUUAUCUGAGGU